GACGAACGCUGGCGGCGUGCUUAACACAUGCAAGUCGAACGGUGAAGCACCUUCCUUUUGGUGGGUGUGGAUGAGUGGCGAACGGGUGAGUAACACGUGAGUAACCUGCCCCCUUCUUCUGGAUAACCGCAUGAAAGUGUGGCUAAUACGGGAUAUUCUGGGUCUGUCGCAUGGCGGGCCUGGGAAAGAUAUUGUUUCGGUGGGGGAUGGGCUCGCGGUCUAUCAGCUUGUUGGUGGGGUGAUGGCCUACCCAGGCGGUGACGGGUAGCCGGCCUGGGAGGGUGGACGGACACACUGGGACUGAGACACGGCCCAGACUCCGACGGGAGGCAGCAGUGGGGAAUAGUGCACAAUGGGCGCAAGCCUGAUGCAGCGACGCCGCGUGAGGGAUGGAGGCCUUCGGGUUGUAAACCUCUUUCGCCAGUGAAGCAGGCCUGUCCCUUUUGUGGGUGGGUUGACGGUAGCUGGAUAAGAAGCGCCGGCUAACUACGU
rnacentral:rRNA from 1 species